rnacentral:rRNA from 1 species
UACGUAGGCAGCAAGCGUUGUUCGGAAUUACUGGGCGUAAAGAGUGUGUAGGCGGUGCUCCAAGUCUGGUGUGAAAUCUCCCGGCUUAACUGGGAGAGUGCAUUAGAAACUGGAAUGCUAGAGGAUGGGAGAGGUAAGCGGAAUUCCUGGUGUAGCGGUGAAAUGCGUAGAUAUCAGGAGGAACACCUGUGGUGUAGACAGCUUACUGGACCAUUUCUGACGCUGAGACACGAAAGCGUGGGUAGCAAACAGG